UCAAUUCGUUUGGCAGCCGUUCGGAGGUCGAAAUCAAUUCCGUUUGUUUCCCGUGAAAAUAGACUCACGCAUCUACGUUGCUACACUUUUCGUUCGUCAAACGACCCGUCGACUGUUCGUGCUUCGGAGUCUACGCAGGGUUAGCUGUUUGCCAAGAUCACGUGGAUAAGCAAGCAGUUUAUGAUUUGAAAGCUGGUCCACUCCGAUUCUUUUGAUUCCUCGGAGGUUUUUAUGUUAUUUAAACUAGUUACUGUUUUCGAACUCUUAGACCGCAGUAGAACUAGUUUAUACAUUACUUAUUAUUGCACUUUGGGAUUGUCGAUUUGAUCGACUAAUUAUUAUUGGCAUAUUUACUUUGUAAUAUUUUAUUACUAUAUUUGAGGCAUGCUGUUGAGCAUUUCAGAUAUUUAAGUUAUUUUUAUUAGAACUGUAAUAUAAAUUGUUAGACUUAGGUUGGAGUCUCGGUUGCCCCCGAGCAGCUUUCUGCAGGUUUAAAUGUUUAUUUGGUUUCCGCGAGGCUUGCUACGGGUUUUGGUACAACCAUACCCAUACCCUAGCGCCGGUCACGAUUCAUGAAUUUGGGUCGUGACAAAGUUGGUAUCAGAGCUUUGGUUUCAAACCAAGGCCAUUUGCUUGCUAUGUGUUUACUUUGUUAGGCCGCUAUUGAGUCAUAGGUACUACUGCGGAAUUAGGAUUCAUGUCUUGUCUUUUGAAACGUCAUCAUUUGUUUUCAAACCUUCAGCCUACAUCCUAUAGGUGAUGUCUGUCAGUCAUUAUUUGGUAUUGAUGUUUUGAUUUACAAUUUAUUUCACUUGGAUGUUAAUUGCUGUGUUUUAUUAUGUUGAGAUUAUUUCACUUGGGUGAUUAUAAUUGCUUUCGAUUUCUCGGGAAAUCAUAGGUUGGAUAAUUUUUCUAAACUCAUACUUGGAUAUGGUGUUGUGUGAUAUUUUUGGCGACUAUGCCUGAUACAAUUUAGAAUAUAUGGAAUGGUUACGGUUAUUUUAGAUGAUGCGAUGAGCUGCUUUUGCCUUGUUAAUAAAGUACAUCUUGACUUUGGCCUCGAUUGUUGAUUUUAAAUGUGAUCGUAUGUUGGGCGUUAGCCUUAUUUUUCAAUUAAAGAGAUUUUGGGUUAGAUUAUAAAACGUGUUUUGAUGGUCAUGCACUGUUUGACCACAUGUUGAUUUAAAGAUUUUCAUUGGGAAUAUUAUUUUAUCCGAUUUGUGUUUCGACACAAAAUCAUAAGAGAAGUUUGAUAUUAAAUUCUUAAAAGGUUUGAUUUCUGAUUGAGUUACCAGUAAAAAGAAAUUCUUGUAUUUUGAAAUAUUAUGUUUGGUUUGGUGUUAACAAGCGAUGAUUUCAAAAUGAUAUUUUAUGAGAUGAGCCAUUGUUUUAAGAAUUUAACGAUGAAAUUAUUUUAUCAUGUUGUAAUAUGUCAGCAUUUUAACUUUUUGGGAUUUACGGAAUAGAUGUUGGAGAUUAAAGAUUUCUCACCUGAGUUUUAAAUUACUGUUUAGCGGUUGGGUUAAGUUGAGCUCCCAAAUUUGAAAGAGUGGAAAUUGGAUUAAAAUAUUUUUUCGAAGUUACAAAUAUUUUGAAUACGUUUUAUAAACGAUUGUUUUGGGUUGGACUUGGGUCACCCAAAUUUAGGAGUUGAGCUUGGUAGUUGUAAUGACUCGGCUAGCUCGAUGAUUUUAUGGUUUGAGAUACUUGGGUAUUCGUUUUAAAGCAACUGAUUAUU